rnacentral:rRNA from 1 species
UACGAAGGGGGCUAGCGUUGUUCGGAAUUACUGGGCGUAAAGCGCACGUAGGCGGAUCGAUCAGUCAGGGGUGAAAUCCCAGGGCUCAACCCUGGAACUGCCUUUGAUACUGUCGAUCUGGAGUAUGGAAGAGGUGAGUGGAAUUCCGAGUGUAGAGGUGAAAUUCGUAGAUAUUCGGAGGAACACCAGUGGCGAAGGCGGGUCGUCUGGGCCGAUACUGACGCUGAGGAGGCGAAAGCGUGGGGAGCCGAACGAGG